CCUCAGGCUAUCCGGUGCAUGGACAUACUGUGGCAGUGUGGUCCGGUUGUGGAGAUGGAGACUACAGCAGAUCGAGCCUGUGGACAGACAGACAGGAGGCGUGACAUGCGGAACAUCAGGCUCACACCACGAGAAGCAGUGCAGGAUCAACAUCAGCCUCAGUAAGGAGAUCUGCUGGAAGUGUUUUCCUAUAUACCGAUACUGACAGGAGGAGCAAUAUGAGUCAGAGGUCGUCAUGCUGGUUGGGAUGGUGAUGGAGGCUUUGGUGGUCCACACAAUGAAGAAUCAGUUGUCACUUCCAGUGAUGUGGAGCUGACCUGGUGCUGGGCUACCUGGCCAACUUCCUCCACGGAGAGUGCCCAUUGACGCUGAGCGAGAGACUGAACGGCACCAACCACGCCAUCCUGCAGACCAUGGAGCCUCAGCUUCCUGGAGCCUCAGGACUGUUAGGGUUAACUCGAAGGGUAUGGGUGGUAGGUGGAGUAAAUAUAAGGAAAGUUUGAUUUGACAUGUUUUGUGCAUAUUUUUUCAUCACUCAAAAUAAGACCAACAUAUUCAGGGAGUCUCCUGUAAUGAAGUCUGGUAUUUUUCAGACAGAUGGUCUCUUCUCAGUUUGGCACAGACACACUUUUCACCUUACACAGAAAGUUCAGAUAGAAAUUGACUUUAUAGAAAAGACAUAAUUCUCUUUCAUAUAGAAUGAGUCUAGUUAUCCCUCUCAGUCACAUAUUGUGAAUUAUACUGUCAUCCUAUGGCCACUUCACAUUCAGAAAACAAUAUCUGCACACUGUGCACAGACGUCAAUUCAAUGUCUACACCAUGUUGAUUCAAAAUAAACAAUAUUUUGGAUUUGAGAUCAAAUGUUUCAUAUGAGGCCACGUUAUAGAAUGUUACCUUUUAUUUGAGGAUAAAUUCAUACGUAUCUGUUUUACCGUUCAGAAAUGAAAACACCUCAUGUAUCUAGUCCUCCCAUUUGAAGAAGUCAUAGGUAUUUGGACAACUUCACUUGUAGUGUAUUAAAGGUAGUAACCCUUUAAAAGUAAUGUUCAGUUAAAUUAUGUAUUUAGAUAUUGGUUCCCUUACCCUGUAAACAGUCUAUGAACUGCUCUCAAGAGUGACUGCA